rnacentral:rRNA from 1 species
AUACGGAGGGUCCAAGCGUUACCCGGAUUCAUUGGGUUUAAAGGGUCCGCAGGCGGGAAAAUGAGUCAGUGGUGAAAGCCUACAGCUCAACUGUAGAACUGCCAUUGAUACUGUUUUUCUUGAGUAUAGAUGAAGUGGGCGGAAUAUAUCAUGUAGCGGUGAAAUGCAUAGAUAUGAUAUAGAACACCGAUUGCGAAGGCAGCUCACUAAACUAUUACUGACGCUCAGGGACGAAAGCGUGGGGAGCGAACAGGAUUAGAAACCCUAGUAGUCC